AUUGAACGCUGGCGGCAUGCUUUACACAUGCAAGUCGAACGGUAACAGGCCGCAAGGUGCUGACGAGUGGCGAACGGGUGAGUAAUGCAUCGGAACGUGCCCAGUCGUGGGGGAUAACGCAGCGAAAGCUGCGCUAAUACCGCAUACGACCUAUGGAUGAAAGCGGGGGACCGUAAGGCCUCGCGCGAUUGGAGCGGGCGAUGUCAGAUUAGGUAGUUGGUGGGGUAAACGCUCACCAAGCCAACGAUCUGUAGCUGGUCUGCGAGGACGACCCGCCACACUGGGACUGAGACACGGACCAGACUCCUACGGGAGGCAGCAGUGGGGAAUUUUGGACAAUGGGCGCAAGCCUGAUCCAGCAAUGCCGCGUGCAGGAAGAAGGCCUUCGGGUUGUAAACUGCUUUUGUACGGAACGAAACGGUCCUGGUUAAUACCCGGGGCUAAUGACGGUACCGUAAGAAUAAGCACCGGCUAACUACGUGCCAGCCGCCGCGGUAAAAC
rnacentral:rRNA from 1 species